UCUGGAGUGGUGCUACGCGCAGCAUGAGGUGGACAAACUGUUGGAAGUUGAGCCCUUCCGGUGUACAGCAUGUUCACCACAAAUGCAUGCUGUAUCAGUGGAUGGAAAUAGAAAAUUAUACCGAUUUAAGAAUGCAUCAGGAAGUGCCACAAAGGGACUUUUUGAUGGCACCUUCCUGGCCAGAGAUGAGGAGGUGUCAAGUUUUGUUGCUCAAAUCCAGCAGGCAACCAAACAUACUCCUGGGAAAGGAAUGUGCGGAUCAUCACAAUGGACAGCUGCAAAAGAGCAUUCUGGGAAAUCUGCCUCAAAAAUUGAUGAGGAGGGGCUGGAAAUCGCUGUGUGCCGGCAUGGGGUGCUUUUGAGAGCACUGAAUAUGUUCAGAGGGGAGAUUUAUGCUUACCCUCUGUAUCUGCAGAAGGAACUGUCCCCCUCAAAUGUUUCCUUUUUCUGUUCAGAUGUGGCAUGCAAGUAUUAUCCGUAUUUGGAAAAGGUCUCCAAUAAGUGCUCUGAACUGCAGGGACUAUUGGAGAUGCAUCCACUUCUUUCAGUGAUGCAUGCCAAAGCACACUCCUGGACAUGUGAGUUGAAAUGGGGUGGACGCAAUCAAGAAGGCGCUGGCAAUACCAUUGGUGAGGAAGUGGAGCAGGUAAAGAUAAUUUAAAGCACUAUGUAGCUGUUGAAGUGUAGAGGUUGUAAUGAGACUUGAUAGUUCGAGCAUGAUAAUGAAAAAUUACUGACAUUUAUAUCUAUGUUAGGUAAAUAGCUUCCUGUCCAGGG
ensembl:lncRNA